ACUUUUUCCUUUUUGUCCUGAAUUAUUUUAGAUGGCUACAUGAGUGUCUGGAUUCAUCUGCAUUAAAACCCCUUGAGAAUUUUUAUAGGUUGAACCAAAACAGAAUAAUGAAAUGAACCCUCCUGGGUAGAAAGGCAGAAAGAGACAUGAAAGAUGAUUUCUCUGAAUUAUUUGGCCUUUAUAGGAAGAACCAUGAUGAGCUUCUAGAAAAUGCAUUAUUGAUGUGAUGUAAUAAGGGGUGCUGAAAUAGCACCAGAUGCCACUAGAUGGCCGCUGAGAACAGAACCUUGGUUUAUUCACCAUGAUGACUGGGUACAAAUGGCUGUUAAGCAUCAAGGCAAGGUGGAAUUGCUCUGCCUAAUCGGGGAGGAAAUUAUUUUAAUGAGAUGAGAAGAGGAGGGAAGAAGAGAGCCAGUGGAUGCUGUCAGAGGAGACGAAGAAGAGGCUGGCGUCCGGAGACCAUACCACCAGGAGCCUGGUGAUCUGUCCAACUAUCAUUGGGAUUUGACUCAACACUCCAGCCAACAGCCUCCUUCUGUCUGCUCUUCUUUGGGGGCUUACUUCGUUCUUUUUAUGCCAGGGUCCCGGGCCUGUCCUGGACCUCACCUGUUCCUGGAAAACAUGCUUUAUCUGCAUUAUCUCUACAUGGUCCAAGCUGUUUGGCUUCAUGUGAUUAGGACUCAGUGACUUCCAUCCCGCGCAUCAUUUUGCCAGACCCAGCUUUCACAGACAACAUGAAAGCCUUGAGGACCAUCAGCUCUGCCCUGUCAUUUCUUCCUCUGCUAUCCCAAUUCCCACAAGACGUUUCUGACCAGAGAGGCUUAUUUAAAUUCUCCACUUUGAAGGAAGCCAGUGAACUCAUGUACUCUUUGCCUUGCUUCUGGAAUUUCAUACCAUCAGAAAGAACUGUGGAACCAUUGCUGGUCUAUGACGAACCAAAGACCUCCUCCUUUUGGACAAAACCACCUUGGAGUCUUUUCCUUGCCAUAAAAUGAAAGCUUCAGGACAAUAAGAAGUAGAAACUUGUUCAAAGGUCUCACUCUCCCAUCCCCUAUUAAAUGAAGGACCAGGGGAUAUUUAAAGAGCGCCCGCAGUCUGGAUGAAGGAGAACUUCUUCAGAUGCAGAUCCUUGAGGCCCCAGACCUGCGUGGAGCCCCACUGAGUGGGUGAUGGUCCUCGCAGUCGCCACACUCUGUAAGUAACCAGCAUGACACUUUUCAGGGCAGGAUUGCCGCCUCCGACCUCCUGCUAUUUCCAUUCAGGCCAAAAGUUAUGAUCAUAGUCUUACCUUACCAGAUUUGGGACACUAUGGGAUAAAUGUUAUUC